AUUCCACCACCAAUCCCCCUGAUGAUGCCCGGUCCGGCCCCUAGAAACACCCAACACCUCACUUGCAUUCUCCCUGAUGCACCUAGCCGCCCUAUCCCACAUACUAUCCACGUCCCCCCAUACUUCCACACCUUCAUUCCCGCCAACUUCUCCCUUAUCUCCCAUGCAUUCACUGGCGUCAAGCCGCCCCACUUAAUUCUAGGUCUACACUCCUUACUCCUCCUCUUUCUAUUCUUCUUUAUACCCAAAUCCAUAACCAAGAGCCUAUGCUGGGUCGAAAGAUUCUCACUCGGGAUGACCUUACAGUCCUUACACAACGCCCUAUCCCCUUUCCUAAGAAACAAAAAGUCAAUCUAGGUCCUGGCUAUCGCGCUUCGAAAGGUGAUCAGGUGAUCGUCCUUCUUCGGGAAGCCCAAGUUCACCACCACCAGCCCAAAGAACCUCGCAAACUCCAAUAGAGUAGCCCCCUCUUCAUUUCUCUCCCCAAAACCAAAACCACCAUGAAUCUCACCAAAGUCUCCCGGUAAGGCCCCGAUGUGCCCUUUGAAAUCUCCUGCUAUAACAAUCUUCUCCAAGCUAGGCACGCCUCUCACCACCUCCUCCAAAGCCUCCCAAAACCACAUCUUCUCCUCCUCCUCCGAUCCCACUUGCAGCGCAUAGGCACUACACACGUUUAGGGUAAACCCCCGAAUGACCAACUUAAUAGUCAUCAACCUAUCGUUGAUCCUCUUUACCUCUACUACCUGACCUCUAAGCUCUUCAUCUACUAAGAUGCCAACUCCAUUNNNNNNNNNNNNNNNNNNNNNNNNNNNNNNNNNNNNNNNNNNNNNNNNNNNNNNNNCCCCCCCCCCCCCCGCGGCCAAGCCUUGGCCUCCCUCCUUCUCCCGCCCUUUUCUCAUCCCCCGCCCCCACCACGGCCCCACGCCCCAACCCCUCGGACAUGACCCUAUCCAACCAUUACCGCCCACAGCCACAACUAGACGAAAGUAUAAGAAAAUAUAAAGAUAUAAACGAUGGUAGUAGCAAAGCAGCAGCAAGAAAUACAAGGCUCACACAAAUUCAAAGGAAUAAUCCAGGAACAAAACUAAACUCAACUAGAGAGCAAACACCACUGGACUCAACACCCACAGCCCCAAAAACAGAUUCCCAAGCCGAUAAUCCUUCACCUCAGAAACCAGAGAUAAUUCAGCGUUACUCUACACCCACAUACUACCCUCUGCUGAGUUAACUAAGUGGAUACCUAGUCGGGCAAGCUGAUGAACUUCCUGAGCAAACUUCUUCUUACCAUCCUCAACAUGAGCAACAUUGCCCAUAGACAAUAUACUAAGAGCAUCAGCCACUACAUUGGCCUUACCCAGAUGAUACAAAACACUUAUAUCAUAAUCUUUCAAUAACUCUAACCAUCUUCUCUGACGCAAAUUCAAAUCUUUCUGAGAGAACACAUACUGAAGGUUUUUGUGAUUUGUGAACAUAUUUACAUGCACCCCAUACAAGUAAUGCCUCCAAAUCUUAAAGGAAAACACUACAACUACUAGCUUAAGAUCAUGAGUCAAAUAAUUCUUCUCAUCAGGUUUAAGUUGUUUGGAGGCGUAGGUUAUGACCUUACCUCUCUGCAUGAAGACACAAUCCAAACCUACUCUAGAUGCAUCACAUUACACAACAAAACUAUCUGAACCAUCUGGUAGAGUCAAGACUGGGGCUAAGGUGAGUCGAGUCUUCAACUCCUGAAAACUCUUUUUGCAAGAAUCUGACUACUGAAACUUAACUUUCUACUGAGUCAAUCUGGACAUGGGGAAAUCAAUAGAAGAAAACCCUUCAACAAAUUAAUGAUGAUAGCCAGCUAAACCCAAGAAACUCCUAAUAUCUAAUUGAGAGAUGGAUCUAGGCCAGUUUCUCACUACUUCAAUCUUUUAAGGAUCAACUCUAAUGCCUAUACCGGAAAUAAUAUGACCAAGGAAUGCUACUAUUCUUAGCAAGAAUUCAUACUUACUAAAUUUAGCAAACAACUAAUGAGCUCUAAGAGUUUGAAGCACUAUACUGAGAUGGUCUGCAUAAUCACUUUCGCUAUGAGAAUAGACAAAAAUGUCAUUAAUGAAGACUAUGAUGAACAUGUCCAAGUACUACUUGAACACUUGGUUCAUCAAGUCUAUGAAGGUUGUUGGGGCAUUUAUAAGACCAAAUAACAUGACUAGAAAUUCGAAGUGACCAUACCGAGUUUGAAAAACUAUUUUUGGAAUGUCACAUUCUCUGACUCUAAGUUGAUGAUAUCCUAAUCUGAGGUCUAUCUUGGAAAAGUAACUGGCACCCUGAAGUUGGUCAAACAAGUCAUCGAUUCUAGGAAGUGGAUAUUUAUUCUUGACUGUGACCUUGUUCAACUGAUGGUAGUCUAUGCACAUUCUGAGAGAACCAUCUUUCUUACGCACGAAUAGAAUAGGUGCGCCCCAUGGGGAGAUGUUGGGUCUGAUGAAUCCCUUAUCUAAGAGAUCCUUUAACUGUUCUUUCAGUUCUUUGAGUUCAGCUGGAGCCAUUGUGUAUGGAAGAAUAGAUAUAGGUUGAGUAUCUGGGAGAAGGUUUAUUCCGAAGUCGAUUUACCUUUUGGGAGAAACUCCGAGAAGAUCUUCAGGAAAUAUAUUUGAGAAUUUACUUACUACUGGGACUGACUCAAGAGUAGGAGUUUUUGAGUUAGAGUCUUUGACUCAUACAAGAUAAUAGACACACUCCUUGGAUAUCAUCUUUCUGGCUCUAAGGUAAGAAAUCAACUAACCCCUAAGAGCUGUAGUACUACCCCUCCAUUCAAGGACUGGUUCAUUUGAAUACUAAAAAUGAACUAUUUUGUUUCUACAAUCAACUGAGGCAUCGCAUUAGUGGAGCCAAUCCAUGCUAAGAAUAAUGUCAAUAUCUGUCAUCUCUAACUCUACGAGAUCAACUGAAGUAACUUUUUGAGACAUUGUGACCAGACAGUUCCUGUAUACCUGAUUGGCUAUAAUGGAAAUCCCCACUGGGGUAGACACUAAAAAGAUCUCUGCUAGAUUUUCAAACUGGCUCCAAAAUUGAUAGUUAUAUAUGGAGUUACAAAAGAAAGAGAAGCUCCAGGGUCUAGUAAAGCAUAAAUAUGUAAGUGAAAGGCUUAGAACAUACCAGUAACUACGUCAGGAGAAUUUUACUGAUCUUGGUGGGACUGAAGAGCAUAUAAUUUUUUUAGACGUUAACCACUGAAAGCGACACCCUGCUGAGGUGGGCGACCGGAUGGAACUGACGACUGAUGGGAUUGGCCCUGUUGGUGUACAUCUCUACCCUUCUGAGCAACUACCCAACACUCUCGAAUCUGAUCAGCUGGAUUUCCACACCCAAAGCACACAUUGCUACCCGCUCUACACUCAUCUUGAUGGUGUCUGCCAUACUUUUGACAUAAAGGAUUGGUACGAGCACUGCUAACACUAACCUGGGACUUAGAGCCUGGUUCCCUAUCCCUAUUGUUGUUUCUGAAUUUGGAUACUAGAUGCUGGCUGAAGAAGGUACUGGGGCUGAAAACCUCUGAUGAAACUAAGGACGGUUACCACCUUUUGACUUUGGCUAAUUGAAAUUAAAACUACCCGUCCUAGCUCUCUUGUUUUCUCUCUCCCUUUCCCUAAUCUUUUGCUCCUCUAUCUGUUGAGCAUGGUCCAUCAGCCUAGCAAGUCUAUCUCACUAAUUAAUUUGCAGCCCUGCACUCCUUAAACACACUAUCAGAUAUGCAAGAUAUAAACUUACUCAUCUUGGACCUAUUAUCCACUACCACAUGAGGAGCAUACCUAGCUAACUGAGUAAACUUGAGGGAAUACUUCCUCACACUCAUGCUGCCUUGCCUUAAAUUAAUGAACUCUAACACUUUGGCCUCUCUCAACUCCAAUAAGAAGAAUCUGUCUAAGAAAGUUGUGGCGAACUCUUCCCAUUCUACAGGCCCUGAAUCUACACCCCUAUCAACCUUCCACUUCUUAAACCAAGUAUGGGCUAUAUCCUGCAAUUGAUAUGCAGCCAACUCGGCACUAUAACUAGACGUUACCCCCAUAGCAUCUGUGACUUUCUAAACUAUAUCUAAGAAUUCCUGUGGAUCCUCUUCAAACUUGGACCCCGUGAAGUAAGAAGGAUUCAUCUAGGUGAAAUCCUGAAUUCUGGUUGUAGCAGUAUUGGCCACUGGGUUGGCCGAAACAGUAGCUGGCCAUUUAUUCUAUACUGCUAUGGAGUUUGCUAAAGUAGUGAACGCAACCCUGAAUUUUGUGAGAGAGACAUGCUCGUCCUUAGGAUCUGCCUGGACGGGCUGAGGGGCUGAUUGAGUUCUUGUUCUUCUUUAGUUCUUCUGGGGAGACAUGUUCUGUAAAUGAAAGGAAGAAGUGGAUUAGACAGAGAGUUUAACUUGAUCUCAUGCUCAAUCACAUGACAUAAAUACCGAAAGAAGGGAAACUUUUCUUAAACGCCUUGUAGCCUCUCAUCCAUAAGUGUGGCGCAAAACAGACCCAGGAAAAAGACUCUACUCAAUGCGGUUUUUAGACUUCCUAGGACAGUUUCAAACCUUAGGCUCUGAUACCAAGUUUGUAAUGACCCAAGACUACCCCCUAGUCGUUACAUAGUGCUUACGGUCCCUGGAGACCACAAGCUAACCCAUGAGAUAGUACCUGUUGUGAGCAUUGAAUAAUAUAAUCAUGAAUGUGGAAAGAUAACUGAAAAGUCAUAAGGUUUUAAUAAUGAAAUAACUACUGAAUUAUGAAUCUAAUAAAAAUACUGAAAUCUGAAUAGUCUGAAUAGCUAACUGUAGUGUCUAAAAAGCCUCUAAACCGAAUACUAUAAGUUGAUGGGACAGGCCCCAACUAACUCUACUAACUACUAACAUAAAGACAUAAAGUAACAUAAUCUAUCAUCGAAGAUGAGGACUCACCACUACUACUGUACUAUUGAUAAUCUAAGAAUCUAGGUUCGAUUCAAGAACUGAGCGUCGGCACCUAUGAUAUGAGACAUCAUAUGACAGAAGAAAAGGUAUUUGAAAAGUACUUUGAAUGUACUAGUAUGCUAAAUGAGGUAGGUUGAUAUGCAUGAUUUCAUGAACAAAACUAAUAAUUAACUGGAUAUGCAUGUAAAGCAUGGAGUACUGAGUAGAGAGCAUGGAGUAUGUAGACACUGAUAAUGCAUGGAAAUCUGUAAAUACUGAGGAUGUAUGACCAAUCAUACAACAUAAACUGCGUAAAAUCUGUAAACCAAAAUAAUGAAAUAACUAAAAUCUGUAUGCUUUAGUCAAACAAUACUAAGACUGAAUGACUGAGCUGGGACUGUAACUGAGACUAUAUCUGAGACUAUGGGAGGUAUUAUCUAACCGACAUUCCCCAAUAUGAGCUAAUCGGAGUCCAACCUGUAACCUCAGUUAGAAAGAUGUUAAUACUGUGCCAUAAAUACUAAUAAUAGCUGUGUGGAUCCACUAAACUGAUAUAACAUCUAAAGGAUUAAGGGUGUCAAGCCUGAACUGACAAGUGACCCCUGGAAGAUAGUCAAGCCUAAUCUGACAGGUGACUACUUAUAUCCUACGUUGGCAACGUAUUUCUAGAGUAUAGGGACUUUUACUAAUGACUCUGCCUAUCUGAUGGGGAGGCCGCCAUCCUUACACUCACUCGGUGCUAAAUCCUACUCCCAAUUGAAAGACACUGCGAUACUAGACUGUUCUGAGUUAAAUAACUGAUAUUUGCCUAUUCUAAUAAUGCUCAUAAUAUAAUCUGAAGACUAUUCUAUAAUGUACUGAGGCUAGACUAAAUAAACAGCUAUGGUUUUCGGGUAUUCAAUUCCCCCAAGGCUCAAAAUAACAAUAUUGAAAAGACACUAAAGCUUGAAGGCUAAAACAUGAAGGCUCUUAUUAAAUAAAUCACUCUUGUAGGCAUUUUAUCAAACACUUGUAGUUCAUGGUUUAAAACAAUCAUAGGAAUGUCAUGGAAUUUGUAGGAGUAGCAUGAAUUCAUUAUAAUAGCAUUAAAUCAUGGUUUAAUUCAAUAAAAAAUACUAUUAAAUCAUGAAGGAUUAAAUAAUAAUAAUAAUUUCGUGGUAAUAUGGUAUAAAAUCAACAGUAAAGGAGAUUCAUGGAUGAAAUCAUAAUUUAAACCAUAAUAACUUGAAAGAUUAUAACUUGGUGAUUUAAAAUAGGUUACUUGGGCUCCAUGGAUGAAAGGGAUCCAUGGAUGAACAUCUAACAUACCUUAAUUGAUGGAUUUCUUGAAGUUCUUGGUGAAUUCCUGAGGAUUGCCCUUGAAUUUGAGAGCUAGGGUUCUUGAUUGGGAGAGAAUGCCUAUUGAUUUAGGGAAAAUUAAUUAAAGAAUGAUUUUAAAAAUAUUUUUAGGGCUUAAGUAUCACAACUAAUUAGACUAAAAUAAAGAGGAAAAGAACUGUUUUAUCCCUGGAUGAACUAUUAAUUUUUCAUCAAAUUUUCCUGAAAUAGGCUCCUGGCGCGAUGCUGCGCUAUCGUGUCGUUCUACUAGAAACUGGAAACUAGGAACUGGGCUGACGGUACAAUGCACCAUUAUCACGGUAAGCCUUUGGGUGCCAUUUUUUCCACCUCCGCGAUGCGCCAACAUCGCGGAGGCCCACUGAAAAUUGACAAAUGGGAAAUUGGCUUACUCCGCGAUAAGCCAUGAUCGCGGAGUCACACUGAAAAUUGAUAAUUUUUAUUUGGGAUGCCUACGCGAUAGACUAAGAGUUAAAAUGAUGGUGUUUUGCAACUAAAACUUAAAAUCGCCAUAACUUCUUACCCGGUUAUCGAAUUUGGGCAAAUUUUAUGUUGUUGGAAAGCUAAUUGAAUUUCCUACGCAAUGGCAUUCUCUAAACUGGAAAAUAAAUAGUAUUUCAAAAAUUUCAUAUAUGAAUACUCAUGUAUUGGGACUUAGAUUAUGAUAGAGAAAUACGGGGUGUUAUAUAUUUUUUAAAAGGUCUCAAAAAUUUCACAAAACUUGACAUUGGCUAUAAAGUUGAAAAUCAGACGUUGCUGAGAUCGGGGAAUAAUUUUUAAAGUUCUAUAUGCUUAAAAUACUCUACGUCAGAAACAACUCAAAUAUUUUACAUUUUAGACUAGGAAAAUUUUUUUGAGAAGGUCUCAAAAAUUUCUUAUUUCACAAAUGUCGCAAGUUAUAAGAAAGUUUGAGAGUUAUAUGUUAUAGACCGGGGAAAAUUUUUUAGGAGGAUCCUAAAAAAUCCCACAAAAGUUGUACUCAAGAUAAAAAAAAAAUUCAAAUCAAUGAUCAACAAUGUACAUCAGAAGAGUAAGGCAAUACCAACACAGCUAGCCUCUCAAAGCUAAGAAUUUUUCUUUGGAUGCAGGAACAGUGAAGUCACAAAGUUGACAAUUUUAAGCAUGACAAAAGGUAUUAUCAGACCCAUUCUGGCCUUGCCAUAAUAAAUUGGAUUUCUCUCCGUCGUCUUUCUCUUGAUUUAUGUUUCUAUUACUUCGUUAUGAUUUCUAACACUUUCUCUGGUUUUAUAGAGAAAUGAUCGGGCAUAACGAUGAAGAUAUGGAGAUAUUAUCUGAACUGCUAUCUCUAAGUCAUUAUGAGUCAAACAACUUCAUCUUUAUCUUUAAACUUUAUCUUAUAUUAUACACCUGACUUAGUUAUAAUAAAUUGUUGUGUUUUUAAUAAGUGUUGUUUAAGUUAUACAGGCGGCGUUAUGCAAGACCGUCUAUAAGAAAUAAUGCAAAGUAUCCUGUCAAAGUUUAAGGAUUCAAUAUAGAAGCUCAAGACGUGCAUAAAUCCUAUAAAGGACUCCUGAUUCAAAGGAUUCAUUUCAAUAAAUCAACUUCUAUCAUUUCUUAUUACAUUUGGGUCAUCCACCCUUUCAAAAGGAUACAUCAUAUUUGAGUCAUCCGCCCUAUCAGAAGGACAAAUCUUAUUUGGUUCAAAGACCUUUUAUAAAGGACAUAUCUUAUUAUAUUUAAGAUGUCACCCCAUUCAAGUGACAUACUUCAUUAAAGAUAAGUCGUCCAUCUUUCAAUGAAACUCAUUGAGCCGUCACCCUGUUCAAAGUGGCAUGUUACGUUCAAGAUAGGUUAUCCGCCAUUCAAUGAGACUCAUUGGGACAUCCCCUAUUCAAAGUGGCAUAUUACGUUCAAGAUAGGUUGUACAUCUUUUAAUGAGACACAUUGGACCGUCACUCCAUUCAAAGUGGCAUGUUACGUUCAAGAUAGGUUGUCCGGCUUUCAACAAGACACAUUGAGCCAUCAUCCUCAUUUAAAGUGACAUAUUAUAUUUAAUAUAGGUUGUUUACCUUUCAAUAAGACAUUUUAGACCAUCACUUUGUUAAAAAUGGCACAUUACAUUCAACAUAGGUCAUUUGCCUUCCAAUGAGACAUGUUGGGGUGUCACCCCAUUCAAAGUGACAUAUUACAUUCAAGAUAGGUCGUCCACCUUUCAAUGAGACACACUGGAUCGUCACUUUGAUCAAAGUGACAUGUUACAUUUAAGAUAGGUCAUCCUCCUUUCAAUAAAGCAUAUUGGAUCGUCACUCCAUUUAAAGUGACAUGUUAUGUUUAAGAUAGGUUGUCUUCCUUUCAAUAAAACACGUUAGGUCGUUACCCCAUUCAAAAUGACAUGUUACAUUCAAAAUAGGUCGUUCAUCUUUUAAUGAGACACGUUGGACUGUUACUCCGUUCAAAGUGUUUACAUUCAAAAUAGGUCGUACACCUUUCAAUGAGAUAUGUUGGACCGUCACUCCAUUUAAAGUGGCAUGUUACAUUCAAAUAGGUCAUCCUUCUUUCAAUAAGACACAUUGGUUAUCACUCCAUUCAAAGUGGCAUUUAUAUUCAAAAUGGGUUGUUCUCCUUUCAAUGAGAUAUGUUGGACCAUCACACCAUUCAAGGUUGUGCAAAUUGGUUCAUCAACUAUCACAGCACAACAUGUUCAAAUAAGUUUUCACAAAGUUACGUUAGUGUAAUGCUACAUUUACAAAUAACUAUUUUGUUUGAGAUGUUGUCGAGAGCAUUUGAAAAGAUGAAAUUCCCAAUUCAAAACCACAGAUGUGGACGACUCCAAAAAGGAUGCAACAUAAUAUGGAACUUUGUCUUAGCAGCGAACUGGACAUAGUCCAAAGAGGAAUAUCAAACUCUUUAGACGCGAGCUAAAGGGUGACUUCCACCACCAUCAAACCACACUUCUAUUAGAAGGCAUGUGGGAUAUUUUGGGAUAUUCUGGUUUCAUUUUCACUUUUAGGAUACUUCUAAAAUCAUACUGAAAGUAACCUUUCCUUUUCUUCAAAUCUGAGUUAUAACGCACUCAAAGUUUUAAAAAUUAUGUCCAAGUAAAUUCUUGCCUAUGGAUGUGAAAGAUCCCACAUUCAUGGUUAAGAGAUUUCAAUCCUAUUUUCCAUAAGCUCAAAUAACUUAUCACUCAUUCUGAACCAAAGGUUGUCUUAAAUAAGAGACUAUCUUUUCCACCGAUUGAGUCAAACUACAAGCAGUCUGAUUUCUUGAGUCUCAAGGAUAUGUAGGUUGAGCUCUAUGUUGAAAACUCGACUGCAUUUCAACCUCCCCCUAAUCCUCUUAUUCUGUAGCUUUUUGAUUUCACCAAAAUUUAAAAAUUGAGAUAGUUUGUGACUUUUUUUAAUCGUGCUUAAAAUCAAACUUUAUGAACUACAAGUGGCCUGAAUUCUCAUGAACCUGAGAUAUGUAGAAAACUUGAUAUCGAGGUCCAGCCAUAAAUCCAUGAAACUCGUGCGAAAACCAAUCUUAUCUGAGAGACGAAUUUGUGGUCCAAAAAAAUUAGGAACAUCGAACUCCCUUUGUCUAGAAUUACUUACAUCCACUCUACCCAAAGGGAGGGGCAGUUGUUGAUACCUAAUUUUUUCCCUCCACGACUAAAUUUAAUUCUUAGUUUCUUCAAUUUUUAAUAAAAUUAGAAUAUUUAUUUCAUCCGAAUAAAUGUGCUCUAAAAAAUUUAUUUUGAGUUAAUUUUGUCAUUUAAGUGAAAAUUAUAUGUUUCUUAUUUACAUACGCAUGAUUGUAUAAAUUUCAUUACUAAAAUGAACAUUUUAUCAAAAUUGGACUAUUAUUAAGAUUUAUCUUGAAAAUCAAUUCAAAUGGGAAAAGUCCUGAUUUAAAUAUAAUUUGUUAUCCAAAAUAAUUUAUUUGAAAAAAUAGGUGUUUGAUUUUAUCAAAUCAAGAAACUCGAGAUUAAACCAGUUAUUAAUUCGUAUCAAAUUGCAACUAAAUAUAGUCAAAAUUAUUAAAUUUGACCAUAAUUGAAAUAGUGGUCAUAAUUACAAUGCAAUUGACCAAUCGAUUUUCAAUUUCGUUAAAAUUAAAUAAAGUUGUCUAAAUGAUAAAUUAAUAUGGAUUAUUUUUUAAAUAACCCCAAAAUCCUUUUUUAAGCCAAAAAAUAAUCUUUUUCUUUUUUGGAAAAAAACAUAUUAUAGAAAAAAUACUAUAUUAAUUACAUAAUAUGAUUAAUGUUUUAUAAAAUUACAAUUUAUAGUCAUUUGACAGUUUAAAAUUAGUUUAUUGGUGGGGCUCUAUAUACAAAUAUUUAAGAUGCGUAUAUACCGAUUUUAUCUCUAAAUGAUUUAUUUUUGAUAUUUUAUUUUUUUCUCUCUCUCUCUCUAUUCUAUUGGUUGAAUAAACGGUAACAACGGGAUUAUCAAAACUCAAGAUUAUUGUAGAUAUGUUCUUCAACUUUUUUUUUCUUGGUUUUCUCUCAAAAUCGCAUAUACUCUCUGCUUGAUUUUCCAUUGAAGAAACAACAACCUUGGCAACAUCCUAAUACACAAUUAUUCAAAAGAUCUUCUUCUAGUGUUAUCUAUUUAUUUUAAGCUAAAAAUCACUAUAAUAUCCAUCAUUGAUUGUUCUUUGAAAAAUCGUUUUGACGGAUUUGUCACCAUAUAAAAUUAGUUUAUGAUAUUUAUUGAAGAUUUGAGGUAAUCUUUUAGUAUUUUUUUGUUAUUAGAUUUAAUUUCUUUUUUAUUUUGAGGUAAUCUUUUAGUAUUUUUUUGUUAUUAAAUUGUUCAUCUAUUUUGCAUUUUUUAUUAGGGCUUCAAGUUAUCAAUUACUUGUUAUUUUAAAUGGAUGAAGAAACCCCUAAUAAUAGAUUAACAAAAGGUAUUGGAAAUAUACCCAUGAUUAAUUGUGGUGCUCCAUUAUUUAAUUUGGGUAUUUUUCAAUUAGAUAGUGGAAAUGCAGGUUUUUUAGCGGAUUUGGAAAUGGAUAAGUCAAGAGCAGAGUCACAAACAUAACAAAAGAACGACCAUAUCAAUAAUCAUAGUAGCAUGGUACAUUCACAGUCAAGAGAUAAUUUAACGAACACAUCCAAAAUAUCAGUGGUUGGUUUAUCGAAAAAAAGAAAAGGAAAGGAUUUUGCAUCUUCUAGAAAAGAAGAAAGGGUUAAAUAUUCUAAGGCAUCUCAAUCUAAAGGGGGAAGGAAUGAAGUUGACAAUGAUGAUGAGGUAGUUUUGUAUAUAUUUUUAUGAAAUAGAAUUAUUUUUCAAUUUACAAUUUUGUUUUAAUGUACAUAUACUCAUAUACUUUUUGGGUAGAACAUAUGUAAAUGAAGUUUCCUAGAUAUAUAUGUGUAUUUUGUCAUAUGAAUAAAAGUACAUACAUAUUCUACAAAAAUAUAUGUACAUAAAGUUUGCAUUUGGGUAUAUGUAAAUACAGUGUUGCAUAUAUAUAUAUAUAUAUAGUAAACUUACAUAUAUACUUUCUGUAGAAUAAUGUAUGCAUAUGCAUAUAUCUACAUUUUUAGAGUUCAAUUAUGUAUAUACAGUUUGUAUAUAUUUAGAGAGAGAGAGAGAGAGAGAGAGUAUAUAUGUAUAUACAGUUUGCAUAUAUGUAUAUAGAGUGAACUUGUAGAAAUGUGCCUGGCUUGAUUUAUGUUUUUGUGUUUAUGCUUUUAUUUUGGAUAAUGUUUUCCAGAGCAUUUGCUGAUAUGCUUCGAUAACAAACUAAUAAUUUUCUUUGUGAUGCAAUUAUUUCAUAUAUUUUUGGGAUAAAAAUAUGCUUGUUUAAGAAUGAUUUUGAUUAGUAUUUAUUUAGUAUGGUGUGCAUAUACAUAUAUACAAUCGAAUGACACAAGAAUAUUAGUACGAGUACAUAUUCAUAUAUACAUAUAUACAUCACUAAUUUUUUUCAUUUGAUAUAUACAUAUAUAUAGUUUAGCAUCACAAUGAGCAUACAUAUAUAUUGUUAGAUGAUAUAUAUAUCUUUUAUGAGGUGUAAGAUGUAUUUAGGUAUAACUAGUUCAUGGAUAACACUUUAUAUACGUAAUUAUUUAAAUGUGUAUAUUAUUUUUUGUUAUGCUCAUUUGUAUUUUCUUUAUUCAACGGGAUAGCAUUUUUGUAAUCACUGAUCUUCCAAAGAAAGCCCUACAUAUGGCGUGUUACGUGGAGAUAAACAUUUUUGAUACCUUAAAAAAGAAGUUAUCAUUUGUAAAACUUAGUAGAUUUAUGCGUACCUGCUUUGCUCAGUACGCCUACAUGCCAGAUUCGUCGGUUUAAUCACAAAUGUUUUGUUGCGUUAUAUCACUUGAGUUGAAAGUUCAACUGAUGUUCUAAUGAUGCGGUUCAAUAUCUACACGUUAAGAUUUUAUUUAAGGGAAUUUGCAAUUAUAUCCGAUCUAAAUUGUGUUGCUUCUAAGGCUGACUUUGUAUUUGACACAAGUGUGCCAAAUAGAUUACUUCGGAAGUAUUUUGGUGGUGAAGAAGAACCUUACAAAGCAACAUUAUUUCAGGCUUUUGAUGACCAAGUAUGGGGUCAGGAUGAUGAUGAUGCUUUGAAGAUUAUCAUUCUAUAUAUCAUCUAUCGUUUUAUUAUGUCUGGAGAGAUAUACACCGUUUGAGUACCUAGAUUUUAUUUUGAUAUCGUUGAUCAAGGAAGGUACAUGGAUUACUGCUAGGAUAAAGAAGCAUUUGAAAACUUGCCAAAAUCAUUUCAAGGAAGUUGAAAUCCGAUGGUCAGUACUACCAACUUCAUGGCAUGUAGUACGCUAUGCAAGUAUGGAUGUAUGAAUGUUGUUCCAAUGUUGAUAAGCGACUUGUAAAAAGAAUAGGUGAUCAAAUUCCUAGGUUGCUUAAUUGGCAAAUCAUAGAAAAUCGUCCACGAUACAAAUGACUUAUGUAGAACAUGUUCAAGUGUAAGAAGGUAAAAGUCAAUAUCCUCGUAGAUUUAAUUACAAUUUUUCCUUUGUUUAUUUUAUGUGCUUAGUGAUAUAUACAAAUAUUUUUUAUUUAUGUAACAAUAUCUUUUUGUAUCCUGUCAUGUUUUUGUGUUGGUUAAAUAUUCAAAAUACUUAUAUACAGUUUAUGGUUGGAUAUCUGUUAUAUACAGUUUAUAUAUAUACAGUAACAUUUUGGUUAUACAAUUUAUAUAUAUAGAAUUUAUAAGUUUUUCUUUUAUGUCAAAAUGGAUUAAUUUGAAAUGUCGUUUAAUAUUCAUAUGUGCACAUGUUAUAAUAACAGACAACUUUUUUUUAACAUUUUUUAAUGAUGUUAUGAAGAUUAUUUUUUGAAACAUCGAGGCUUCCGCAAAUAAAAUUACAUCAUUUCAACUUUCACCUAAAAUUGAUGACCAUGUAGUCAGAGAAUCUCCAAUCAAGUAUGUUGUCGAUUUCGACGAUGACUUUCAAGAGUUGCCUAAAUUUUUAGAUGUUCAUAAGGGAAAGACAAAGUUAGUUGUACCUGAUUCACCUGUAAAAAAAAAAAGCAAAAGCAAAUUUCAUCGGGUGCAUCAAUAUCCAUCAAGAGUCCUCCAAAGAUUAUGUCAAAAGUGGCGAGCUAUAGGAAACCAACUCGUGGUGUUAGUAAAAGAGCAAUAAAAUUGAAAUUACAUAGGAAUAAAGUGAGCGAUCAAAUUCGAUCAUCAAAUUCUGCUCUAUCAAUUUCUGAACCAGAAGUACAGAGAACAAAGCCGCCUGUUGACAUAAAUUCUCUCAACCAAAAAGUUGAUGCGCUUGAGAAUUAUGUAAGUAUAAUUUUAAACAUCAACAAACUAUUGAAUUUCCACUAAAACUUUUUAAAAUGAUUAUGUAGGUGAAGUUUGAAUUUCAGAGUUUGCGGGAUCUGAUAAAUGAUAAAUUGUAGCUGGUCAUGGAUGCUAUCAAAUGUAAAGUUGAUCAUGAAAAGGUAAUAAUCUUACAUAUAUUAGUUAGAAUUUUUUAUACAAAGAAUAGUACAUAACAUAAACAAUGAUAUGUCAAUAAUUAUUAGGAUUCAAUGAAAUAGUCAUCUCCAAACGAUGAACAAGAAACUCCAUUCAGUAAUGUGCAUUAUACUCCAGGGAAUAGCAAAGAUUCAAAGGUAUAUACAUAUAGUUCAAUUCCUGUUAUAUACAGUUUAUGGUUGGAUAUCUUAUAUGCAGUUUAUAUAUACAGUAAUAUUUUAGAUAUAUGGAUAUAUAGUUUGCAGUUGGAUAUAUAUUUAUACAGUUUGAUUUUUUUAGAAUUUCUCCAUAUUAGUUUUCUAACAUAGAUACAGUUCAAUGUUUAUAUAUAACAUCCUUAUACUGUGUAUUUUUUUAUUGACUUCUUGUAUUUUAGGUAUUAAAUAGAUUAAUAGAAAUCAAAGUUCAAACAGCCUUGGUUACUCGGUUAGAAAAACUAAUUGAUGAAUUGAAUAGCGCAAAGGAGAUCGAUGAUGCAGUUUAAAUAAAAACCCAUCCUGUUGAGCAUGAGUAAUUUUUAUUCUAUUUUUUUAUUAUAUCCAUUUUUUAAGGUUUUAAAAAUAAUUACAUACAUAUUUGCUGGAAAUGCUUCAAUUAGAAACUAACUUUAAUUGUCAUGCAAUUACUUCAUAUGUUAUUAUGAUUAAAAUGUGCUUGUUUAACGAUGCAAAUUAUUUUGAUGCGGAGAUUUCAUAAGUUAUGGUGAUUAAAAUGUGCUUGUUUAACAAUGUAAAUUAUUGUGAUGCGGAGAUUUCAUAUGUUAUGGUGAUUAAAAUGUUCUUAUUUAACCAUGCAAAUGCUUAGUAGUUUCUUCACUCUAUUGCAUAUACAUAUAUACAGUUUUGAUUUGAAUAUAUGUAUGUAUGGUUUGCAUUUAUGUAUCCCAACAUAUAUAUAAAUUGCAAUUGGAUAUGUAUACAUUUUUCCUAUAUACAGUAUAUGUAUAUACAAUUUAUAGUUGGCUAUCGGUUAUAUACAAUUUACAUAUAUAUAGUUUCAUCUGGAUAUAUGGAUAUACAGUUUACAUUUGGAUAUAUGUUUAUACAGUUUGAUUUAAAUACUAGUUCUCUGCAAGUUAUAACAUAUAUACAGUUCAAUGGUCAUAUAUAACAUAAUUAUAUGGUGUCCUUGUUUAUUGACUUCUUGUAUUUUAGGUCUUGAAUACAAAAAUGAAAAUCGAUGUUCAAGCUAUCUUGGUUACUCAGUUAGAAAAAUAAAUUGAUGAAUCGAAAAAUCCAAAAACGAAUGAUGCUGAUGUUGAAAUAAAAGAUCAUCCUUUUGAGCAGACUGAAGUACGAGUAUCUUUUAUUCUAUAAAUUUUUUAUUUUGGUUCAUUUUUUUAAGAUUAUUAAAAUGAAUACAUUAUAUUUUGCUGGACAUGCUUCAAUAAGAAACUAAUUUUUCUUGUGAUGCAAUUAUUUCAUAUGUUAAGGUGAUUAAAAUGUGCUAGCUUAAUGAUGCAAAUGAUUAGUAGUUUCUUCAAUAUAUUUCAUAUACAUAUAUACAAUUGUCCGUGUGUAUAUAUGCAUAUUUCAUUUGCAUAUAUGUAUCCAGACAUAUAUACAGUUUGCAAUUGGUAAUAUAUACAAUUUGCACAUAUACAGUAGACGUAUAUACAAUUCAAUGGUAAUAUAUAACGUACUGAUAUGGUGUGUUUGUUUAUUGACUUCUUCUAUUUUAGGUUUUGAAUACAGAAAUGAAAAUCAAAGUUCAGACUGUCUCGGUUACUGAGUUAGAAAACGCAAAGGAGAUCUAUGCUGCAUAUGAAAUAAAAGAUCAUUAUGUUGAGCAAACUGAAGUACGAGUAUAUUUUAUUCUAUAAUUUUUUUUAUUUUAAUUUAUUUUUUUAGUUUUUUUAAAAUGUUUGUGGUUAUAUUUGUUUUAGGUGGAUGAAUGCACAGCUGAAUGUGUAAAUGACACGUUUGUCAAAUGGAGUUACAAAUAGUUAAUUUUCAGAUAGAUUUAAGCAUUCAAUCUCCUGAGAAUCAGGACUUGGUUGCAGCUUCUGUUCAUAUAGAUGAUCCUCUUCAUAUCGAGCAAUAAAAGUCUACUCAAUAUCUAAUAGAAUCGUAGGAUUUUAUUCCUAAUGAUUUACUCCCAAGUUUGAACAUCGAGAAACAGAUUAUAGCUCUGCACAAGUCCAAAGUAUCUAGACAAACACCUAUUCUACCCCCAAAGACACGAAAACCAGGCAGAUGGAAAACUUUGCCUUAUAUGGCCGAUUUUGGUUCUAGAUCUGGUACUAUUAUAUUUUCGUAUAAAUUUUAUUUUUUAUUUGGUGAACUUGUUUUGUAUUUAUUUAUUUAUUAUUAUAUGUUUUUUCAGGUUCUUCAUCAAGGAUGCCUAAGAUAAUUGGCAUAAAACAUCCAUUUGUAUCCGACACCAUAUACGGACCACAUAACGAGAAAUUGUAUUCUCGCUUCUUGGAUUGGGUUCACGAAGGAACGCUAAAGAGGCAUGCUUUCAAGUUUGUUAUCUUCUAACUUCUUAUAUAUAUGUAUAUAUGUUUUCUAAAAUACAUUUUUUUACAAAGUACUCCCUCCGUUUCAAAAAGAAUGACCUACUUUUCUUUUUAGUCUGUUUCAAAAAGAAUGAUCCCUUUCCCUUUUUGGCAAUAGUUUAGGACCACAAGAAUAAAGGACAUUUUGGUACAUUUUACACAACUUUAAUUUAAGGCCACAAGAUUCCAAAGUCUUAUUUAUUUUCUUAAACUUUGUGUCAAGUCAAAGUAGGUCAUUCUUUUUUAAACGAAGGGAGUAUUAAUUUUUCUGUAUAGGGGUUGCCUUGAAGAUCAUUAUCUGAGCAAAAAAGAAGUCAUCAAGCCAUAAUUAUUCUUUGGCGUUGAAUCUGUUGGAGAUAAGAAUUGGUUUUACAUGCUAUGCUUUCCUUACCAGAUGUUCAAUGACUCCGUAUUAUAUAUAUAUAUAUAUAUAUAAUGUAAACAAAAUUCAAUGUUUUACAUAAUAACUAAUAGUAUUAAGUCUAAUAUUUUUUUAUAUACAGUACAUUGAUGUGAUCCUAUACAACUUGCGUAAGAAAACAAAAUAUGAUCCAAACAGUCAGUACAAAUUCAGUACAGACAACUGUUUAUUCAGUACAACAAUAUCAAAUAUUUUUGACAAGUAUGACGACAAUACAAAAGAGUAUAACCUGAGUAGUUAAGAGAAGACAAUUGUUGAAUACAUCAAUCAUUUUAGAUUCCAUGCUUCUGUACCUUGGCAUACUGUGGAUCACAUAUUUAUCCCAGUAAAUGUGGCUAGAAUACAUUGGGUAUUGGCUAUUUUAUCAUUCAACGAUAGAUGUCUAUAUGUCUAUGACUCUUACAGGUCUGCUCGUCAUAAUUCAUCUGUGGCGCAUGAGAUGAGAAAGCUUUCAAAAUUGAUACCUACGUAUUCAGAAAAUUCAAAUGUUUACAAGUAAAAAGGUAUUGAUUUUUCCUCUCAUCCAAGGUACAUCGUUCGUAAAGAAGAAUUAUUUCUAGAUAUGGUAUAUGUGGAUGAUGUACCACAACAGUCGACGGGAGUUUGUAAGUUGAUAUACCAUAAUUUUUAAGUUUAUUAUUAUGAGUUAUUAUAAACAUAUAUUUUUUAUUUCAGUUUACUACUUACAUCCCAUAAAUAUGAAUGUGCAGGGAUUGUGGAGUAUAUGUUACUGCAUAUGCAGAGUAUAUUAGCCAUGGAAAAGGUGUACCACCAAGAUCCUUUGAUGUUGAAGCUUUGCGCACUCGAUCCACUGCCCUUUUAUGGAAUCAAGGGACUCAGAAGAUUGAGGAAAAUGCCAUGAGUAAUGAUGAGAGUCCAGACAGGCCAAUGAGGCCAUAAUUUGAUCGUGAUAAUACAAAAUUGAUUGUUAUUCCAUAGACAAUUUAGUUGUUAUUAUUAGGAAGCUACUUUAUAAAUCUUUUUUUUGGUGUAGCAAUCUGCCUUUUUAAUUUAGCUUUUGGUAUAGCUACUUGAUUUUGAAUUUUAAUUAUGGUAUAGGAAGGUAUUUUUGAAGCUAAUUUAUUGUAACAGUUAUAUGACUUGAUUAGAUUUUUUGAAACAGCAUAGUAUUAAACAAAGUUGUUUUAAUAUAUAUACACUGUUUUGGUUUCAACUAUCAUUAGUGAUAACACUCAAACUACACCUCUCUAAUGAGAAUGUAAGUGAUCAUUGUCAAUAUAAAACCCAAAUAGGUUGGGGUCAAAUCCCACAGGGAAUAUGGUGUGAACGUAAGUCGUUUGUGAUUUAAUCAAUUGAUAGUUCGAUGUUUCCAGCAAAGGGGGUUUUUAGCUUAACAAGUAAUUGUUGGUAACUUUAGAUUCAGUGUUUGUAAAUAAGAGUUUAUGAAAAAGCAGAAUUAAGUUCACUAGGGGUUUUGGUACUUGACAGAUACUACUAGUCGUUCAAGAUUCUCAUGGUAGGUAGGACAACCAGUUAUCUUUAUCAAAGUUACUCUUAAAUGUCUCUCGACCUACCUAAGCAUUUAAUUACCUAAUCCUCUCAAACUUAGGGAAUUGAUAUUCACUGCUUAGAUUUUACCUCAGGUUAACCAACUUUGUUGCAGCGCUGAUUAUUAAAUGGAGUAUUUCUAAGUCCCUGUUGAUAAUUCACUUCCUACUAUAUUUGAUUUCUUUCUCAAGCAAAUAAAAGUAGGUGGUAUCUAUCGUUUACAACCAAUAGACAAUAAUUAAAAUAUCAGAAUCAUCAAAGAGUUCUACCACCUUUUGAAUCUUGAACACUCAACACCUUAUCAAGACCUACCCUAGAUCCCAUAAUUCAGGUUAAAUAAAUUUAGCCGCUCAUUGACGUAAUAAUCGAAACACCUAGAUGAAUUCAUGCUUUGAAAGAUAAACCUACCACAAGAUGAAUAUAAACUAGAGAUUCUCAGACUAAAUCACAAAGGAAUCCCAAAAUAAUGAAUAUAAUCUCUUUAAAGUAAUUGCUUUCUCAAGCCAACAAGUUAGAAAGAAAAAAAUCAAAGUAUAUUCCUCAAAACUCAAGGUUCGGAACUCCUAAGAAAACCCUAAACAAGGCUUUAAAUAGUUCACCCUAAUUGUGGAAACAAAAUAAUAAAAUUUAGAAAUUAUUCGAAUUAGGUGACGCCAUUUGUGAUAGCCUAUCAAAAGGAUGACGACUUAUCACAAAUGUCGUUAGCUUCAUUUAUGCUUUUAGUACUUUCUGCCUACCGCUGAUGAGAAAAAGUGAUGCCCUAUCAACUUCUUGACAACCUAUCACAAAAUGUGGUCAAGCCUCUUCUUCAGUUCUCAUGUGUUGCCUUAGGUUGACGGCAUUCUUGAUGGCUUAUCAGAUCCUUGAUGAACCAUCACCAAAUGUCAUCACAUAUUUCAAUCUUAGGCCAAUUCUCUGUCUAUGGGUGAUGAUGAAUCUAAUAGCUUAUCACAAGGCUGACAACUUAUCAAAAAUAUCGUCAGCCAUACUUUUGCCUUUAUCUACUUCUGAUUUUAACUCCUUUGCUUCCAUUCUUGGUAAUUCUCUAUCAUAUUAGCUUCUACUGUAAAAUUAAACAUAAACCAAUCAAAAGGAUAAAAGUUGCUUAAGACUUCAAAAUCAUUCAUACUUAAAAGCCUCAAAUGUGUUAGCGUUAAAUGUGUUAGCAGUAACAGAUGCUACUAGUGGUUCAAGAUUCCCACGGUAGGUAGGACAACCAGUUAUCUUUAUCAAAGUUAUGUUUAAAUAUCUCUCGACCUACCUAAGCAUUUAAUUACCUAAUCCUCUCUAACUUAGGGAAUUGAUAUUCACUGCACAUAUUUUACCUCAGGUUAACCAACCUUGUAACACCGCUGAUUAUUAAACAAACUAUUUCCAAGUCCCUGUUGAUAAUUCACUUCCUACUAUAUUUGAUUUCUUUCUCAAGCAAAUCAAAGUAGGUGGAUCUUUCAUUUGCAACCAACAGACAAUAAUUAAAACAUCAGAAUCAUCAAGGAGUCCUAAAACCUUUCGAAUCUUGAACAUUCAACACCUUAUCAAGACCUAACCUAUAAUACCCAUACUUUUCCUAGCUUGAAAAGUUUCCCAAGAAUGUUAGAAGAUUUAUUUGAAAUAUGAAUCCACUUUUUUACACGUGGUAUUUUCAAGAUUUUUACUUUUUUGUCAUGUGGUAAAUUCAACACUCUGGCGAAGAGUUAGAGCCUUUUUAGUGAGACAGUGUAUCACUUGAGCCGUCAGAACAUCGCGGAGAUAGCUCAAAUAGAAAUUGUCAAUUUUCAGUAUUUCUCCACAAUAGUGGCAUGUCGCGCCAAACUUCCAGGUCGUAGACAAGGUGGCAACGCGAUAGCUUCGCGUCGCACCACCGUGCAAUUUCUCAUUUGUCACUUUCCAGUGACUUGGCGCGAUAGUGGCGCAUCGCACCAAGGAUGAAAAUCUGGAAAUUUUCUCAGAAAUUAAAUAUGUGUCCUAGGGUUAAAAAGGGUCAAUUUUCCACUCUAUAUAGCCUUAUAACACGAGAUUUGGCCAUAAUUCAGCAACUUAUACUCAAUUACUCUCAAAAACUCUCAAGAACAAGCCCUAGGGUUUUCAUAGAAGGUUCAAUUCCAAGGGAAUUCACCAUUAAAUUUCAAGAAUCUCUCCGUCAAUCUUUAUAGAAUCACAAGUUAAGGUAUGUGUAGUGUUCAUUCAUGGACUCUUUUCAUCCAUGAAGCCCAAGAAUCUCUUUUCUAAGUUUAAGUCUAUGGAUUUCUUUAUGAAUUUCAAGUUGGGUUUGUUUUGUUUAUGUUGAGAAUGAUCAAUUGAAUUCAAAUCCAUAUUGGGUGAUCAAUUUUAUGUGAAAUUGAUUUGUAUAGAUGUAUUUUCAUGUGAAACUAUGAAUAAACCCUAGGAUGAUGAAAUUAUACAUGAAUCGUGAUGUUUGAUUAUUGUAUCAUACUGUCUACAUGUGCUAUGCCGAUCAUAUGUAUGAUUAAAUGCCUAGAUGAAAGAACAAUGCCCAACUAGUAAGAUAUCAUGAAAUCCCCAUGUAUGUACAAGUUUAUGUAUAUGACAUGUUUGAUGAAGUUCUUCAAUAUAUGAAUUAUGAAUUGUGUUGUUGGUCAUGUGUUCAAGUAAGCCAUGCCAUGUCAGUUUUUUCUCAUCGAUUCCUGGGGGUACUUGUACCCGAACAUUUAGUUGUGUGCCUAGAGCCAUGUCAUGUUUUUACGAUCUCCUCAGUUAAGCUAUGAUCUAUAGAACUCAGUCAGUUAUGUGACUCAGGAAAUCUCAGAAAUCUAAGUAAUCUGAGUAGUUCAGUAAUCUCAGUAACCUCAAUUUUCCCAGUCAAUCUCAAUAACUUUAGUAUUCUCAGUCAGUCCUCAAAACUCAGAACAUUUCGUCAGUUAACGAAACUCAGUAAAUUUAGUUUAGCUCCACUAAAGAAUACCACUAGUAUCAGUACAGUUUAGUUAAUCAAUUCAGUGUCUUUCAGAUGAGAGUAGGAUUCAGCAACGAGCGAGCCUAAGGAUGGGGACUCACCCACUAGAUAAGACUGAGAUCCCUAGAAGCAAUCCCUAAGUUCCAAAACUACAUAGCCAGCAUAGGUAUGAGAUGUCACCCAUUAGAUAGGACUGACAUACUCAGGGAUCACCCACUAGCACAUUUAAAUGUAUAGGACUGAUCCCAAGGGACACCCGCUAGAUUAGGAAUAACUCCACAGCAGUUGUCUUUACCAGUGGUGCAGUACUAACACCUUCUAGCUGAGGUUACAGGUUGGACCUUAUUCAGCUUUGUAUGGGAUAUGUUGGUUAGAUAAAUACAUCCCACAGUUUUAGUUACAGAAUUAGGACUGUCAGAUACAGUUAAUUCAGCUCAGUAGUAUAGAUUUAGGACUGUCAGAUACAGUCACUCCUUAUCAUUAUAAAUAGACUUUGGGAUAGGAAUAAUCUCAACUAUGGUUAAUCAGUAUUAGUAUUAUCAGAUCUAGAGAUCACCCUCUAGAUAGGACUGAUCUCAGAUUUAGUUACUCAGAUACAAUACAGAACUCAGCUAGUUCCAUCAAAUUUAGGACUGUCAGAUACAGUCACUCAUGUUAUCAGUUAUAUCAAUUAUCAAAACUCAUUUAAUCAAUAUUCAACUUCAUGACUGUUAGACACAGUCAACCAAGGUAGUUUUUCAUAAUUAGAACUGUCAGAAAUAGUUAUUCAUGUAUCAGUAACAUAGUAUCAGUCCCUCAGAUAACAGUAAUUCCAUGUUAUUAGUAACUCAGUAGUCAGAACUUAGCAUUCAAUCCUAUCACGAUGUUAGUUACAGUUACAUAUGCAAGCAUGUAUUCUCACGUUCAUGUUAGUCAGUCAGUUAGUAUUGUUCAUGCAUAUAAACCUAUUGCAUUCAGCCUACCUCACUUUUAUACUAGUACAUUCAAAGUACUGAUGCAUUUGCCCUAUGGUAUCUUAUACCAUAGGUUUAAAAGCAUGAGCUCCAGAGAACUAGUAGCAUCCCAGUUCAACGAUCAGAGUUAGAAAUGAGUCCUCAUCCUUCGAGGACAUGAUGAUCACAUUACUAUUUUACUUUUUAGUUUAUUUCAGUAGUUGGAGUUAGUUGGGGACAUGUCCCAUCAACACCUUAUUCUGAGAAUUUAGAGGCUUUCAAACUACAGUAUGUUCAGAUAAUUAUCUUAGUUGUUUUGGUGUUGUUAUACCAUUAUUUUCAGUUAUGCACUAGUAUUGAACCUUAUGGCCUUUUAGUUCAUGUUUCCACAUUCACGAUAUUAUUAUAAUUAUUUACUGCUCAGUUUACAGAUAUCAGUCAUGAGUUAGCUUGGGGUCUUUCAAGGUUAUGGACACCGUGUAGUAUUUUGGAUACCAGAUUCGGGACAUUACAAACUUGGUAUCAGAGCAUAAGGUUCAAUAGUAUCCUAGGAAGUCUAAAAAGUCGUAUCAAGUAGAGUCUUGUACUUGCGUGUGUUGUGCACCACACUUAUGUGCAAGAGGCUAUGAGCUGUUUUAGGAACAAUUUCUCUUCUUUCAGUAUUCAUGUUGUGCCAGUGAGCAUAAUCUCAAGUCAAUCUCUCAUUCUAAUCUGUUUCUCCCUUUUUUUUCUACAGAAUAUGCCUCCUAAAAGAAGAAACAAAAAUCAGUCAGCCCCUCAGCCCGAAGAACCUUUGGGUAAAUAAGUUUCUCAUGCAAAGUUCAGGGCCACAUUCACUACUCUUGCUUAGUCAGUUUCUACUCAUAAUGAACGACCAUCUAUUGUUCCGACCAACCCAAUGGCCAAUUCAGCUGCAACCAAGAUUCGAUACUUCACCCGAAUAGCUCCAUCCUUUCUUGGAUCUAAGUCAAAUGAGGACCCUCAGGAAUUUCUAGAUCAGGUUCAGAAGGUGACUGACAUCAUGGGGGUGGCUACUAUUUAGAGUGUUGAGCUAGCUGUAUAUCAGUUGUAGGAUGUGGGUCAUACUUGGUUCAAGCAGUAAAAGUCAGAAAGGGCAGAUGAUACAGGAUCUAUAGAAUGGGAUGAAUUUGUCACUACAUUCUUAGAGAGGUUCUUUCCCGUAGAGAGAAGAGAAGCUAAGGUUUUAGAAUUCACCAACCUCAGAAAGGGCACCAUGAUGGUGAAAGAGUAUUCUCUUAAAUUUACUCAAUUAUUCAGAUAUGCUCCUCAUGUGGUUUUAGACAGUAGGGCCAAGAUGAGUAAGUUUGUGUCAGGGGUGAAUAAUAGCAUGGUUAAUGAGUAUAGAUCUGCCAUGAUGAAUAGUAACAUGACUUUAUCCAGACUUAUGACUCAUGCUCAGUAGAUAGAGAAGCAAAAUAUUAACAUGAAGGAAAAGCAGAAUAAGCGAGCAAGGACAGGUAGUUUCAGCUUUGCUCAGCAUAAGUUAGGAGGUGGUAGCCAUACUCAGUAUAGUUAUAACCUUUCAGUCCCAACUCCAUCUUUAACUAUUGCACCAGUACCCAUGUUUGAGAAUGACAUUCACGAUGGGUCGCCAGGCUUUGAAGCCUAGGGUAGUGAGAACCUGAGUCUUACCUAUCCACUUUGUAAAGAGUGUGGUAAGAAUCACCUAGGUGUAUGUAGAGCAAAUAGUAAGGUAUGUUACAGAUGUGGUAAGCCAGCCCACAGACUGCGAGAAUGUAGAGUAAGGUCUCAGAAGGGAAAAAAUUUAUGCCAGUAAGGAGUCACUUCUAUUACCACUAGUGGUCAAUGUCAGAACAAGUUUUACACUCUUCAGACUCGCCCUGAUCAAGGAAAUUCCCUCGGCAUAGAUUCGGGUAUGUUAUAGGUCCUUCAUACUCAUGAUAUGCAUUGUUAGACCUCUUUCUCUCAUUUUAGCUUAAGAUUUUCAACAUGAGUUAUUCAAUCAUGAAUCAGUCCGUGGAUGCCCUGUGCAUCACCCUAGUAUCCUAGUAAGGUGAGCGUUAUUAGAGGGACAUGGUGUCCUAAGGGGGAGAUACCCCAUUAUUCCCCAACUCUCUCAUGUCUUAAGUUAAGUUUCUCUUCUCAUAAGGAAUCCAGUUUAAAAUAGAGGGUAAUCAUAAGUUGACCCUCAAAGUCCUAACCUCAGCUAUGGGCUAAGUAUUCAAAGGCUUAGUUCAGUUCACAAAAUUCAGUUUAUGUAUCAAGUUUCAGCCUCAGUUAUGUUCUCAGGUUCUAGUUUAUGCAUACUUCUAGAAUAAUCAUGGGGUCAUCAGUGCUUUUCAGUCAUGUAACAGUUUUCUUAAACUUACUCAGUUCCAUGAUCAAACUACCUUACAAACUUUGUAUUCAGUUAAUGCUCAGAUCCCCAUUACAAACUUGGUACUAAGUACCCUUACAUAUUUUGUAAUACAUUCAUAUAUCAGUUCAGUCAUGUAAUUAUACAUCAGACAUGCAUUCUCACUGUAGGAAAUUCAGUUCAUCAGAAUAUUCAGUCAUGUACUAUAAGUCAAUUAUUAGUCAUGGAUCAGAUAUCCAUGUUCAGUAUGUUAUAUUCAGCCAUCAGUCAUAUCAGUCAUGAAAUUAUGUUCCAUCCAGUCAUGUUUAGUAUGUACGUCAGUUUGUAUUCUUUCCCUUUCACUCAGUCUCAUUCGAGGACGAAUGUUCUCAAGGGGGAGAUAUUGUAAUACCUCGUACUUUUCCUAGCUUGAAAAGUUUUCCAAGAAUGUUAGAAGCUUUUUUUGAAAUAUUAAUCUACUUUUUUACACAUGGUAUUUUUAAUAUUUUUAAUUUUUUUCAUGUGUUAAAUUCAAUAAGCUUUCCAUCAAUACCAAAUUUUCUCAAAUCUGACACUCGGGCGAAGAGUUAGAGUCUUUUUAGUGAGACAAUGUAUCACCUGAGCCUUAAGCGCAUCGCGGAGAUAGCUCAAAUGGUAAUUGUCAAUUUCUAGUAUUACUCCGCGAUCUUGGAGCAUCGCACCAAUCUUUUAGGUCGCAGACAAGCUGGUAACACUAUAGCUCUGCAUCACGCCACCAUGCAAUUUCCCGUUUGUCACAUUCCAGUGACUUGGCGCGAUAGUGCGCGUCGCGCCAAGGAUGAAAAUCAGGAAAUUUUCUGAAAAAUUAAAUACAUGUCCUUGGUUUAAAAAGGGUCAAUUUCCCACCCUAUAUAAGCCUUAUAACAUAAGAUUUGACCAUAAUUCAGCAACUUAUACGCAAUUACUCUCAAAAACUCUCAAGAACAAGCCCUAGGGUUUUCAUAAAAGGUUCAAUUCCAAUGGAACUCACCAUCAAAUUUCAAGAAUUUCUCCAUCAAUCUUCAUAGAAUCACAUGUUAAGGUAUGCGUAGUGUUCAUUCAUAGACUCAUUUAGUCCAUGAAGCCCAAGAAUGUCUUUUAUAAGUUUAUGUCUAUGGAUUUCUUUAUGAAUUUCAUGUUAGGUUUGUUUUGCUUAUGUUGAGAAUGAUCAAUUGAAUUCAAAUCCAUGUUGGGUAAUUAAUUUUAUGUGGAAUUGAUUUGUACAGAUGUAUUUUCAUGUGAAACUAUGAAUAAACCCUAGGAUGCUGAAAUUAGAUAUGAAUCAUGAUGUUUGAUUAUUGUAUAAUGUUGUCUACAUGUGUUAUGCCUAUUAUGUGUAUGAUUAAAUGCCUAGAUAAAGGAACAAUGCCCAACAAGUAUGAUAUCAUAAAAUCCCCAUGUAUGUACAAGCUUAUGCAUAUCACAUAUUUGAUGAAGUGCUUCAAUAUAUGAAUUAUGAAUUAUGUUGUUGGUCAUGUGUUCAAGCUAGCCAUGCCAUGUCAAUUUCUUCUCAUCGAGUCCUGGGGUACUUGUACCCGAACAUUUAGCUAUGUGCCUAGAGCCAUGUCAUAUUUUCAUGAUCUUCUCAAUCAAGCUAUGAUCCACAGAACUCAGUCAGUCAUGUGACUCAGGAAAUCUUAGAAAUCGAAGUAAUCUCAGUAGGUCAGUAAUCUCAGUGAUCUCAGUACUCAGUAAUCUCAGUAACCUCAGUUUUCCCAGUCAAUAUCAGUAACUUCAGUAUUCUCAAUCAGUCCUUAGAACUCAAUACAUUCUGUCAGUCAAUGAAACUUAGUAAAUUCAGUUUAGCUCCGCUAAACAAUACCACUAGUAUCAAUCUAGUUCAGUUAAUCAGUUCAGUGUCUUUCAGAUAGGAGUAGGAUUCAGCACCGAGCGAACCUAAAGAUGGGGACUCACCCGCUAGAUAGGACUGAGAUCCCUAGAAGCAAUCCCUAAGUUCCAAAACUAAGUAGCCAGUGUAGUUAUGAUAUGUCACCCAUAAUUUAGGACUGACAUACUCAAGGAUCACCUACUAGCGCAUUUAAAUGUAUAGGACUGAUCCCAGGGGUCACCCAUUAGAUCAGGAUUGACUCCACAGCAGUUGUCUUUACUAGUGGCAUAGUACUGACACCCUUCCAGCUGGGGUUAUAGGUUGGACCCCAGUUAGCUUAGUAUGGGGCAUGUCGGUUAGAUGAAUACAUCCCAUAUUUUCAGUUACAGAAUUAGGAUUGUCAAAUACAGUCAAUUCAGCUUAAUAGUAUAGAUUUAGGACUAUCAGAUACAGUCACUCCUUAUCAUUAUAAAUAGACUCCGAGAUUGGACUGAUAUCAACUAUGGUCAAUCAGUAUCAGUAUCAUCAGAUAUAGAAAUCACCUGCCAGAUAGGAAUGAUCUCAGAUUCAGUUUCUCAGAUACUGUACAGAACUCAGUUAGUUCUAUCAGAUUCAGGACUAUCAGAUAUAGUCACUCAUGUUAUUAAUUAUAUCAAUUAUUAGAACUCAUUUUAUUAGUAUUCAGCUUUAGGACUGUUAGACACAGUCAACCAGACCAACUCUUCAUAAUUAGAACUAUCAAAAAUAGUUAUUCAUGUAUCAGUAACAUAGUAUCAGUCCCUUAGAUAUCAGUAAUUCUAUGUUAUUAGUAAACUCAGUAGUCAGAACUUAGCAUUUAGUCCUAUCACGAUGUAAGCUAUAGUUACAUAUGCAUGCAUAUAUUCUCACCUUUAUGUUAGUCAGUCAGCAUGAACCUAUUGUAUUCAACCUACCUCACUUGUAUACCAGUACAUUCAAAGUACUGACGCAUUUGUGUUAUGGUGUCUUAUACCAUAGGUUUAGAAGCAUGAGCUCCAGAGAACCAGUAGCAUCCCAGUUCAGUGAUCAGAGUUAGCAAUGAGUCCUUAUCCUUUGAGGACAUAAUAAUCAUAUUACUAUUUUAUUUUUUAAUUUAUUUUAUUAGUUGGAGUUAUGUGGGGAUAUGUCCCAUCAACUCCUUAUUCAAACAGUUUAGAGGCUUUCAGACUACAGUAUGUUCAGAUAAUUAUCUCAGUUGUUUUGGUAUUAUUAUACCAUAUUUUUCAGUUAUGUACCAGUAUUUAACCUUAUGGCCUUUCAGUUCAUGUUUCUACAUUCAUGAUAUUAUUACAAUUAUUCAUUGCUCAGUUUACAGAUAUCAGUCAUGGGUUAGAUUAUGGUCCUUCAGGGUUAUGGGCAUCGUGUAGAAUUCCGAAUACUAGAUUUGGUUUGUUACAAACUUGUUAUCAGAGCCUAAGGUUCAAUAGUGUCCUAGGAAGUCUGAAAAGCCACAUCGAGCAGAGUCUUGUACAUGGGUGUGUUGUGCACCACACUUAUGUGCAGGAGGUUAUGAGCUAUUUUAGGAAUAAUUUCCCUUAUUUCAAUAUUCAUGUCAUGAUAGUGAGCAUAAUCUCAAGUCAAUCUCUUAGUUUAAUCCAUUUCUCACUUUCUUCUACAGAACAUGCCUCCUAAAAGAAGAAACAGAAAUCAGUCAGCCCCUAAGCCCGAAAAACCUUGGGUGAUCAUGUCUUUCAUGCGGAGUUCAGGGCCAUAUUCACUACUCUUUCUUAGUUAGUUUCUAAUCAUAAUGAAUGACCAGCUAUCAUUUUGGCCAACCCAGUGGCCAAUUCAGCUGCAGCCAGGAUUUGUUACUUCACCCAAAUGAACCCUCUAUCCUUUCUUGGGUCUAAGUCAGAUGAGGACCCUCAAGAAUUCCUAGAUCAGGUUCAAAAGGUGAAUGACAUCAUGGGGGUGCCUACUGCUGAGAGUGCUGAGCUAGCUGUAUAUCAAUUACAGGAUGUGGCUCAUACUUGGUUCAAGCAAUGGAAGUCAGAAAGGGCAGAUAAUGAAGGACUAAUAGAAUGGGAUAAUUUUAUCACUACAUUCUUAAAGAGGUUCUUUCCCCUAGAGAUGAGAUAAUCUCACGUGUUAGAAUUCAUUAACCUCAGGCAAGUUACCAUGACGGUGAAAAAGAAUUCUCUUAAGUUUACUCAAUUAGCCAGAUAUGCUCCUCAUGUGGUUGCAGACAGUAGGGCCAAGACGAGUAAGUUUAUGUCAGGGGUGAAUGAUAGCGUGGCUAAUGAGUGUAGAUCCACCAUGCUGAAUAGUGACAUGACUUUAGCCAGACUUAUGAAUCAUGCUCAGUAUAUAAAGGAGCAAAAUAUUAAGAUGAAGAAAAAGCAGAAUAAGAGGGAAAGGACAGGUACUUUCAGCUUUGCUAAGCAUAAGUCAGGAGGUGGUAGCCAUACUUAGUAUAGUAAUAAGCUUUCAGUCCCAACUCCAUCUUCAGCUAGUGCACCAAUACCCAAGUUUGGGAAUGACAGUUGUGAUGGGUUACCAGGCUUCGAGGCCUAGAGUAGUAAGAACAUGAGUCUUACCUAUCUACUUUGUGAAGAGUGUGGUAAGAAUCACCUAGGUGUAUGUAGAGUAGGCAGUGAGGUAUGUUAUAGAUGUGGUAAGCCAAGCCACAGACUGCGAGAAUGUAGAGUAAGGGCUCAGAAGGGAAAAAAUUUGCGCCAGCAGGGCGUCACUUCCAUUACCACUAGUGGUCGGCAUCAGAAUAAGUUUUACGCUCUUCAAACUCACCCUGAUCAAGAAAUUUCCAUCAGUAUAGAUUCAGGUACGUUAUAGGUCCUUCAUACUUAUGAUAUGCAUUGUUAGACCUCUUUCUCUUAUUUUAGCUUAAGAUUUUCAGCAUGAGUUAUUCAGUCAUUUGAUGCCCUGUGCAUCACCCCAGUAUCUUAGUAGGUGAGCAUUCUUAGAGGGAUAUAAUGUCCUAAGGGGGAGAUACCCCAUUAUUCCCCAAUGCUCUCAUGUCUUAAGUUAAGUUUCUGUUCGCAUAAGGAAUCCAGUUUAGAAUAGAGGGUAAUCAUAAGUUGACCCUCAAAGUACCAACCACAGCUAUAGGCCAAGUAUUCAGAGGCUUAGUUUAGUUCACAAAAUUCAGUUUAUGUAUCAUAUUUCAGCCUUAGUCAUGUUCUCAGGUUCCAGUUCGUGCAAACUUCUAGUAUAAUCAUGGGGUCAUCAGUGCUUUUCAAUCAUGUAACAGUUUUCUUAAACUUACUCAGUUCCAUGUUAAAACUACCAUUACAAACAUGGUAUUCAGUUAAUGCUCAAAUCCCCAUUACAAACUUGGUACUAAGUACCCUUGCAUAUUCAGUCAUGCAUUCAUAUAUCAGUUAAUUCAUGUAAUUAUGCAUCAGACAUGCAUUCUCACUAUGGGAAAUUCAGUUCAUCAGAAUAUUCAGUCAUGUAUUCAUAAGUCAAUUAUUAGUCAUAUAUCAGAUAUGCAUGUUCAGUAUGUUAUAUUCCGCCAUCAUUCAUGUCAAUCAUGAAAUCAUGUUCCAGCCAGUCAUGUUCAGUAUGUACGUCAGUUUGUAUUCUUUCCCUUUCACUCAGUCUCAUUCGAGGAUGAAUGUUCUCAAGGGAGAGAUAUUGUAAUACCCCGUACUUUUCCUAGCUUAAAAAGUUUCCCAAGAAUAUUAGAAGUUUUCUUUGAAAAAUGAAUCCACUUUUUUACACAUGCUAUUUUUAAGAUUUUUACUUUUUUCAUGUGGUAAAUUAAAUAAGUUUUCCAUCAAUACCAAAUUUGCCUAAAUCCGACACUCGGGCAAAGAGUUAGAGCCUUUUUAGUGAGACAGUGUAUCACCUGAGCCUUCAGCGCAUCGCAGAGAUAGCUCAAAUGGCAAUUGUCAAUUUCCAGUGUUGCUUUGCGAUAGUAUCACGUCGCACCAAACUUCCAGGUCACAGACAAGGUGGUAAGGCUAUAGCUCCGCAUCGUACCACCGUGUAAUUUCCCAUUUGUCACUUUCCAGUGACUUGGCGUGAUAGUGGCGCGUCACGCCAAGGAUGAAAAUCGGAAAAUUUUCUCAAAAAUUAAAUACAUGUCCUAGGGUUAAAAAGGGUCAAUUUCCCACCCUAUAUAAGCCUUAUAACAUGAUAUUUGGCCAUAAUUCAGGAACUUAUACAUAAUUACUCUCAAAAACUCUCAAGAACAAGCCCUAGGGUUUUCAUAAAAGGUUUAAUUCCAAGGUAAUUCACCAUCAAAUUUCAAGAAUCUCUCCGUCAAUCUUCGUAGAAUAACAAGCUAAGGUAUGCGUAGUGUUCAUUCAUAGACUCCUUUCAUCCAUGAAGCCCAAGAAUCUCUUUUCUAAGUUUAAGUCUAUCGAUUUUUUUAUGAAUUUCAUGUUGGAUUUGUUUUGUUUAUGUUGAGAAUGAUCAAUUAAAUUCAAAUCCAUGUUGGGUGAUCAAUUUUAUGUGAAAUUUAUUUUUAUAGAUGUAUUUUGAUGUGAACCUAUGAAUAAACCCUAGGAUGCUGAAAUAAGAUAUGAAUCAUAAUGUUUGAUUAUUGUAUGAUGUUGUCUAUAUGUGCUAUGCCUAUCAUUUGUAUGAUUAAAUACCUAGAUGAAGGAACAAUCCCCAACUAGUAUGAUAUCAUGAAAUUCCCAUGUAUGUACAAGUUUAUGCAUAUCGCAUGUUUGAUGAAGUGCUUCAAUUUAUGAAUUAUGAAUUGUGUUGUUGGUCAUGUGUUCAAGUAAGCCAUGCCAUGUCAGUUUCUUCUCAUCGAGUCCUGGGGGUACUUGUGCCCGAACAUUUAGUUGUAUGCCUAAAGCCAUGUCAUGUUUUUAUGAUCUCCUUAGUUAAUCUAUGAUCCAUAGAACUCAGUCAGUCAUGUGACUCAGGAAAUCUCAGUAAUCUCAGUAGUUCAGUAAUCUCAGUGAUCUCAGUUCUCAGUAAUCUCAGUAACCUCAAUUUUCCUAGUCAAUCUAGUAACUUCAGUAUUCUCAGUCAGUCUUCAGAACUCAAUACAUUCCAUCAGUCCAUGAAACUCAGUAAAUUUAGUUUAGCUCCGCUAAACAAUACCACUAGUAUCAGUCCAGUUCAGUUAAUUAGUUUAGUGUCUUUCAGAUGGGAGUAGGAUUCAGCAUCGAGUGAGCCUAAGGAUGGGGACUCGCCCGCUAGAUAGGACUGAGAUCCCUAGAAGCAAUCCCUAAGUUCCAAAACUACGUAGCCAGCGUAGGUACGAGAUAUCACCCGUUAGAUAGGACUGACAUUCUCAGGGAUCACCCACUAGAGCAUUUAAAUGUAUAGGACUGACCCUAGAGGUCACCCGCUAUAUUUGGACUGACUCCACAAUAGUUAUCUUUACCAGUGGCGCGGUACUAACACCCUUCUAGCUGGGGUUACAGGUUGGACCCCAGUUAGCUUAGUAUGGGGCAUGUCGGUUAGAUGAAUACAUCCCAUAAUUUCAGUUUCAGAAUCUGGACUAUUAGAUACAGUCAAUUCAGCUCAAUAGUAUAGAUUUAGGACUCUCAGAUACAAUCACUCCUUAUUAUUAUAAAUAGACUCCGAGAUAGGACUGAUCUCAACUAUGGUCAAUCGUAUCAGUAUCAUCAGAUAUAAAGAUCACCCACCAGAUAGUACUGAUCUCAGAUUCAGUUACUCAGAUACAGUAUGGAACUCAGCUAGUUCCAUCAGAUUUAGGACUGUCAGAUACAUUCACUCAUGUUAUCAGUUAUAUCAGUUAUCAAAACUUAUUUAAUUAGUAAUCAGCUUCAGAACUGUUAGACAUAGUUAACGGGACCAGUUCUUCAUAACCAGAACUGUCAGAAAUAGUUAUUCAUCUAUUAGUAACAUAGUAUCAGGCCCUCAGAUAUCAGUAAUUCCAUGUUAUUAGUACACUUAGUAGUCAGAACUUAGCAUUCAGUCCUAUCACGAUGUCAGUUACAGUUAUGUAUGCAUGCAUGUAUUCUCACGUUCAUGUUAGUCAGUCAGAUAGUAUUGUUUAUGCAUAUGAACCUAUUACAUUUAGCCUACCGCACUUGCAUACCAAUAUAUUCAAAGUACUGACGGAUUUCCGUUAUGGUCUCUUAUACCAUAGAUUUAGUAGUACAAGCUCCAGAGAACCAAUAGCAUCCCAGUUCAGCGAUCAGAGUUAGCAGUGAGUCCUUAUCCUUCGAGGAUAUGAUGAUCACAUUACUAUUUCAGUUUUAAGUUUAUUCCAGUAGUUGGAGUUAGUUGGGGAUAUGUCCCAUCAACUCCUUAUUCAGACAGUUUAGAGGCUUUCAGACUACAGUAUAUUCAGAUAAUUAUCUCAGUUGUUAUGGUAUUGUUAUACCAUAUUUUUAAGUUAUGUACUAGUAUUGAACCUUAUGGCCUUUUAGUUCAUGUUUCCACAUUCACGAAAUUAUUACAAUUAUUCACUGUUCAGUUUACAGAUAUUAGUCAUAGGUUAGCUUAUGGUCCUUCAGGGUCAUGGGCACCAUGUAGCAUUUCGGGUACCAGAUUCAGGGCGUUACAUAACCUUAGAUCCCAUAAUUCAGGUUAAAGAAAUUUAGCCGCUCAUGACAUAAUAAUCGAAACACCUAGAUGAAUCCAUGCUUUGAAAGAUAAACUUACCACAAGAUGAAUAGAAACUAGAGAUUCUCAUAUUAAAUCACAAAGAAAAUCCUAAAAUAAUGAAUAUAAUCAAUUCAAAGUAAUUGCUUUCUCAAGCCAAGAAGGUAGAGAGAGAAAAAAUCAAAGUAUAUUCCUCAAAAGUCAAGGUCCGAAUAGCAUUUUGUCCCACUCCUGGGUUAUGAAAAUAUUUAUAGAUGGUGACAAAAUUCACCAGUUGUAGGUUCGGGUCAUCCCCAGGAAGGCCACCAAACAACCCCUUCAAAUUGAGGAGUUAGAUUAUAGUACUAUUGAUGUUGAACUUAGCUCCAGGUGCCAACGGUGGAGGAAUGAUUGCACCCAUUGCACCUACUCCAUCCAUUCCAUCAUAAUCAUUAUUGAGAUUAUACUGGACCGGCUGGUACUCUUGUUUUUCUCAAAACGUACGGUUCCUGUUAACAUUACGCCGUAUUGGUACAGCUAUCUGCUCUGCACGCCUUGGGUUACCAGGAUUCAGCAACUCCUCAUCUCCUAAAUCUUCGUCCUCAGGAUUUUAAUGUCAUACUUAUUGACUGACAUUCUGCACAUUCACCUGAGCUCUAGCUAAGGCUACUAAUCUGUCAGCCUCUUGUUGUUCUGCCAUUCUUCCAAUUCGUUGUGGUUCCGGAUUAGGUGGUAAUAAUGGUUCUCCUGAACUUCUAGUUCUUGACAUAUACUAUAAAGAUACUGCAAUAAACAAAAACAACAAAUAAACGUAAAACUAGGAAACUUAACUAAUUGCACACACAAACUUCAGUUUACAACUGUAUUCCCCGGCAAUGGCACCAUUUUUUAUAACGCUCAAACUACACCUCUGUAAUGAGAAUGUAAGUAAUCGUUGUCAAUAUAAAACCUAACUAUGUUGGGGUAGAAUCCCACAGGGAAUAUGAAGUGAACGUAAGUCAUUUUCGAUUUAAUCAACUGAUAGUUGGAUGUUUCUAGAAAAGGGAGUUUUUAGUUUCACAAGUAAUUGUAGGUUACUUUAGGUUUAGUGUUCAUAAUCAAGAGUUUAUGAAAAACUAGAAUUAUAUUCACUAGGGAUUUUGGUACUUGACAGAUGCUACUAGUGGUAAAGAUUCUCUGUAAUGCCCCAGAAAAUGGGUCCCGGAGCGUCACACGGUGCUUGAGGCUACGAGUAGCCCCAAGCUAACCCUUUGAGCCAUUUUCAUUCAGUUCAACACAAAUCAAUGGGGUUUCCAUAAAUAGCCCUCAAAUAUCAAAAGAGUAAUCAUCAUCCAAGAAUAAAAGAAUUUCAGAAAGACAACAAAAUAUGACUUAUUAGUCAACUCCCAACAUCUAUACUAGUCUGACAAGCCUCUAAGAAAAUCAAUAAAACCAGUAAGCCAUUGAGACAUGCCCCAACUGACUCAUACUCAGUUACCAAAUGUAAAUAAUUCCGUGAAACCAACAUCAGACAUCACAUCCUUGGAACAUGAGGACUCACCACAACAGAGGAUGUAGAACAGUGUGCCCGAACAAUCACUGUCGAAUUUAGAACUGAGCACCUGAACCUACAUUCCGANNNNNNNNNNNNNNNNNNNNNNNNNNNNNNNNNNNNNNNNNNNNNNNNNNNNNNNNNNNNNNNNNNNNNNNNNNNNNNNNNNNNNNNNNNNNNNNNNNNNNNNNNNNNNNNNNNNNNNNNNNNNNNNNNNNNNNNNNNNNNNNNNNNNNNNNNNNNNNNNNNNNNNNNNNNNNNNNNNNNNNNNNNNNNNNNNNNNNNNNNNNNNNNNNNNNNNNNNNNNNNNNNNNNNNNNNNNNNNNNNNNNNNNNNNNNNNNNNNNNNNNNNNNNNNNNNNNNNNNNNNNNNNNNNNNNNNNNNNNNNNNNNNNNNNNNNNNNNNNNNNNNNNNNNNNNNNNNNNNNNNNNNNNNNNNNNNNNNNNNNNNNNNNNNNNNNNNNNNNNNNNNNNNNNNNNNNNNNNNNNNNNNNNNNNNNNNNNNNNNNNNNNNNNNNNNNNNNNNNNNNNNNNNNNNNNNNNNNNNNNNNNNNNNNNNNNNNNNNNNNNNNNNNNNNNNNNNNNNNNNNNNNNNNNNNNNNNNNNNNNNNNNNNNNNNNNNNNNNNNNNNNNNNNNNNNNNNNNNNNNNNNNNNNNNNNNNNNNNNNNNNNNNNNNNNNNNNNNNNNNNNNNNNNNNNNNNNNNNNNNNNNNNNNNNNNNNNNNNNNNNNNNNNNNNNNNNNNNNNNNNNNNNNNNNNNNNNNNNNNNNNNNNNNNNNNNNNNNNNNNNNNNNNNNNNNNNNNNNNNNNNNNNNNNNNNNNNNNNNNNNNNNNNNNNNNNNNNNNNNNNNNNNNNNNNNNNNNNNNNNNNNNNNNNNNNNNNNNNNNNNNNNNNNNNNNNNNNNNNNNNNNNNNNNNNNNNNNNNNNNNNNNNNNNNNNNNNNNNNNNNNNNNNNNNNNNNNNNNNNNNNNNNNNNNNNNNNNNNNNNNNNNNNNNNNNNNNNNNNNNNNNNNNNNNNNNNNNNNNNNNNNNNNNNNNNNNNNNNNNNNUGAAAAUUACUUUUGGGCACAACAACGAAAGAGAGGUCUUGUUGAAAAACCCCACAUACCUUGAAUGAUGAACUUUAGAUCGAUACUCAUUUUUGAGAUGUUAAUCGUGGCUUUGAAUGAUGGUUCUUGGAGUUCUUGAACUAGGAACUUGGAAUCUUGAAUAAAUUUGCAGAAUUAAUGGUGAACUUUGGAGGUCCUUGAAGUUGGAUGUAGGAGCUUAGGGUUUUUUUUCGGAGGGAGUUUGAUGAAAUAUAACAUAUAAUGCUUCUAAUAGGCUUUAAUAUAGGGUUUGGACGGAUCUUGGGUGAGGGAGAAUGACCAAAAUGCCCCUAAAAAUCAAAAAAUUCUCGAAUCUGUCCUUUGGUGGACUAUUUUUAUAAUUUGAAGUAGAUCAACCAUAACGUUUUAUUUCGAUAUCCAAAUUAGAUGAAACCAAUUUCAUUGGAAAGAGGACUCACAGAUCUUUCCGUUGAUAUAUAGUAGAUCACCCAGAUCAUUAUGUACAAGGAGUUAUGAUCGUUUAAAUUUAGAGCAAAAAUACGUCAUGCCUCAGUACUUUUUCCUACACGUACUGUUCACUACUAUUUACAGUUCGAUCGGAAUGUUCAUAACUCGUCACUCGGGUGUCCGUUUUGGAUGAUCCACAUAUCUUUGGAAAGAUUAUUUGAUACUCUACGCAAUGGUGGGUCAUAAUCUAAGACAUUCCGUAAGGAAAAUUUAUAAUUCAGUCUAGAAGAUAGAACCCAACACCUUUACACACAAAAUUUCAAUGAAAAAUUUCCCGAGGUAUUACAUCAUCCCCCCUAGAAACAUUCAUCCUCGAAUGAUGCUAGACAUGCCAAUAUUAGAUAGGGAAUAGAGCAUACAGCUGAAACCAUUCAUUAGACUCAUCACCACAUCAUUUCUCACUCCGAAUGCAACAUAAAAUGCAUAAAUUCAAGAAACUACAGCUGAACACAUAAUAAAUGACAGCUGAACUGCUGCAACUUUUAUCAAAAGUGCAUGAUUUAGGAAAUAACGAUACCUUCGGCUUGAUCGAAGUUUGUGGAAAAUAGGUUCGAUACUUGGAUCGCAUAUCUGCCUCAGCUUCCCAAGUUGUACCCUUAACAAAUUGGUUUCGCCACAACACCUUGACCAAGGGAACUUCUUUGUUCCUUAGUCAUCGGACACUGAAAUCAAGAAUCUCAACGGAAAUCUCAUCAAAAGAAAGAUUUUCUUGAAUGUCAGCACUCACAAAGAAAUCCACUACCACAGCAUCGCUAAUAUGCUUUCUAAGCAUGGAGACAUGGAAUAUUGGAUGAACAGAGGACAACUCGGAAGGCAACUCGACCUUAUAAGCUACCUUACCAACACUGCUAAGAAUUUUGUAAGGACCAACAUAAUGGGAACUGAGCUUCCCCUUCUUUACGAAUCUCUUCACCCCCCUCAUGGGUAAAAUUUUCAGAUACACUAGGUCACCAACUUCAAACUCAAGGUCUCUCCUUCUAACAUCCGCAUAUGACUUCUGAUGACUCUGCGCAGUUUUCAACAUUUCCCUAAUCAACUUAACUUUUUCCAUAGCCUCAAAUACCNNNNNNNNNNNGAGCCAUGCCAAUACUAGAGUGGAAACUGUUAUUGUAAGCAAACUCUAUCAACUAUAAGUGAUCAUCCCAACUUCCCUAAUAGUCAAGUGCACAAGCUCUCAACAUAUCCUCUAAAGUCUAGAUGGUCCGCUCAGCUUGACCAUCGGUCUACGGAUGAAAAGCAGAACUCAAAAGCACUUGGGUACCAAGACCCUUCUGAAAAGAUUUCUAAAAUUAUAAAGUGAACUGAGUACCCCUAUCCGAAAUAAUAGACAAGGAAACUCCAUGCAGUCUGACUAGCUCUCGGAUAUACAAUCUAGCGUAAUCCUCAGCAGUAUAUGAAGUAUGAAUAGGCAAGAAAUGAGAAGACUUAUCCAACCUAUCAACCACAACCCAAAUGGAAUCAUGAUGGCGUCGGGAAGGAGGUAAACCAAUCACGAAGUCCAUAUUUAUCUCUUCCCACUUCCAGGUGGGAAUACUAAACUCUUGCAUCAUACCACCAGGUCCUUGGUGUUCAACCUUAACCUGUUGGCAUAUUGCAUACUUAGCUACAAACGCUGCUAUAUCUUAUAUAUACAUAUACACACAAAAAUUUUAACAGAACAUAUAAUGAUAAAUAUGUAUAAUAGAGAAACAAAACAUCAAAAUACACACAACAUAUGCGCUCAAAUAUAAUAUGUUUACAGAUAGCUCGUCUUCUUUAAUAACUUUUGCACAUGUAUGCAGUUAAAAGUGAAGUUAUGAGUUAUGCACAUAGAAGUUCAAAAACUGCAUAUAUCUAUAUAAGUAAAUUGAAAAUUAACUUAAUAGAUAAUCCAUCAUAUUUCGACUACGCAAUUCUAAAUAAUUAAUGACAAAAAUCAUAACUGAAACUUAUUGAUUGUUUAAAAAAAAGAAACAUAAAUUUACUAUAACAUAAAAAACUAUUCAACUCGACGUAUUUUUCAGCAUGAACGCCUAUUGUGUCCCCUUAACCCACAAGUACUGCAUAAAUUUGUGGACUUAAUCCCGUAAAAUUUUUCUGCGGACUUUUCUCUUUCUUUUUUCCUUGGCCUUCCAGGGGGACAUCUGUAUUUUGGCGGAAGAACAACUUCACUCAAUAUAUAAUCUGGUAUUUCCCAUGUGGAUCUAUCAGGCAAAGACAAUAUUGGAACCUCAUACGUACCCAACAUUGAGACUGGCUUGUAAAGUUAGAGUAAUAAUCAUCAAGUUCAAAAUAUUUGCUCUUCAACACUGCAUACGCAUGAGCACAUGAAAUUUCAUCGAUUCAAAUCUAUGUCAAGAACGUGUCUUCUUAUCUAGGCAAACAAUAAAAUGUCGAUCUUCAUGAAGCACAGAAUAAACAUAAUCCGUUGCCAGAACAACCUGCGAUAAAUAUACAAUUAUAUAUAUACGUAUUCAACAAAAUAACAAAUGCAUCAUGUACUUUUGAUAAAAUACUUACCCUCAUUAUUGUACUCUUCACCUCGUUAAAUUUAAGGAGUUCAUAAUAUUUCCCGCAUAUAGGUGUACGUGUGAAUGUCCCAAUCUGUCGAUUGUUGUGGUGUCAUCUACCAAAUAUUUUUCUAAAUUCCUCCAAGAAAUCAUAUAUAAGCAAUUCCCUGGCUUCCUUAAGGUGUUUGUUAAUGGUUUCAGCAAUGUUUGAGGUUAGAAUGAAUCCCCGAUUUACAGUUGCAUACACCCUAGACCACUUGUUAGAUUCGGCCGACUGCAAGUAAUCUUUCACCCUAAUAUCUAUCUUUUCAACAUUCUUCAUUAGAAUGCUAAAUUCAGAAAUUAUAUAUGCUUUUGCCAUUGCAUAAAAUACUUCAAACAAUUUAGCAUGUGACUUCCUGAAAUUGGUUACCACAUUUUUCUACAAAUGCCAAUGCAUCCAUACUGUACAACACCCCCAUAUACAGUUGACAUAGCUCUUAUAAUACUCUCGUUCCUGUCGGACACAAUACACAUAUUUGAUUUUAUACCAUGAGCUUCUUUCAAUUGCUCAAAGAACCAACUCCAUGCUGCAUAAUUCUCCAAAUCCAAAAUUUCAUAAGCUAGGGAAAAAAUAUGUCCUACAUACGUCAUGUUAUACAUAAAAUAUUUACGAAAUAUAUUUAAUACAAUAUAUAUAGUACUGAAAAAAUAGAAAGUAGCAUAAAAAACUGCUCCAUCAAGUGUACUUACUGACACAAAAGUUUCAUCCUCAUAGGUGACUGCCAUAAACAACAACAAUCGGUCGACAUGAAUCAAAACCUUUAAUUGAAGAGUAGAGCGAUAUAAACACAUAAAGGAAUUCAUCAUCUGAUGUUUUUUUCAUUCGUAUAUGUGAACCAGGGUAAGUCUUCCAAUAUGUAUAAAUUUCCAGGCAAUCUGUUGUAUGAUGCAUAUGUUGUCCUCCUCAAUGAAAUCAAAGCUUUUUCUACAGUCCUUCACGCCAUUGUAUAAGUCAAAUUCAAACCAAGCUCAUUCUUAAUAUCCUCAUGUAUGUUUUUCAUCGUAUACACUCUUUUAUGAUUGGAUAACUUCCGUUUCACAAUCCUACCAAUCAAUGCACUACUAACAUAUUUCUUCUGGUACACUCUAUCCUUUAAAGGACAAGUAUGUUCAUGCCGAACUUUUUAAUCUUAAACAAAUAGGUGUUCUUAUUGCUAGAUGCCAUUAGAAAUCAACCACAUUCCUUCGAUUUACAAACCCUUCGAUUUACAAACCAAAGUAUACCUCAACAACAACAACAAAAAACUCAGUGUAUUCCCACAUAGUGAGGUCUGGAGAGGGUAAGGUGUACGCAGUCCAUACCUCUACCUCUAAAGAAGUAGAAAGGCUAUUUCCGAUAGACCCCCGGCUCGAGACAUGAAAUACUACAUAAAUACAUAGUAAAGCAUGGAACAAGAUGGCAUAACAUAAAUACGACACCCACAAGUAAUAGAAAAUAGAGAAAAGUAAACAGAUUCGUAAUAAAGCAUGAAACAAGGUAUCAUAGUAAAAAUAAUACCCCCACCAACUAAUUCCCUCCACUAGGGACCCAAACUGACCCUAGCCUUCUUCCCUAAUUCGCGUCCUCUAGAUCUUCCUAUCUAGGGUCAUGUCCUCAGUGAGCUGUAAUUGCUCCAUGUCCCGCCUAAUCACCUCUCCCCAGUACUUCUUCGUCCUACCCCUACCCCGCCUAAAACCAUCCAAAGAUAUCCUCUCACACCUACGAACCGAGGCAUCCAUGGCCCUCCUCAUCACGUGUCUGAACCAUCUCAAUUGGACUUUCCGCAUUUUAUUCUCCACUAGAGUCACACCAACUUUCUCCCUGAUAGUCUCAUUCCAAACUCUAUCCCUCCUAAUCAGCCUAUACAUCCAACGCAACAUCCGCAUUUCCGCCACCUUCAUUUUUUGAAUGUGAGAGUUCUAAACUGGUCAACACUCCACUCCAUACAACAUGGCCAGACGGAUUUCCACCCUAUAAAAUUUGCCUUUAAGCAUGGGUGACACCUUCUUAUCACACAACAUCCCCGAAAUGAGCUUCCACUUCAUCUAUCCCGCCCCAAUACGGUGUGAGACAUCCUCAUCAAUCUCACCGUUACCCUAAAUCACAGCCCUGAGAUACUUGAAACUAUCCCUCUUACAUACCACCUGUGAUUCCAACUUCACUACCACCUCAUUCUCCAGCCUCACAUCAUUAAACUUGCAUUCCAAAUACUCUAUCUUGCUCCUACUCAACCUGAACCCUUUAGAAUCAAGAGUUUGUCUCCACACCUCUAAUUUAUCAUUCACACCCCCCCCUCAUGUCUCAUCAAUCAAAACUACAUCAUAUGCAAAAAGCAUACACCAAGGCACCUCUUCGUGAAUAUGUCGCGUCAACACAUCCAUCACCAAAGCAAAUAAAAAGGGACUAAGAGUAGAUCCCUGAUGCAAUCCUGUCAAGACAGUGAAAUGCUCUGAGUCUCCUUCCGCCGUACUCACCUGAGUUUUAGAUCCAUCAUACAUGUCCUUAAUUGCUUUGAUAUAUACCACCGGGACUCCACUAACCUCCAAGCAUCUCCAAAGCACCUCCCUGGGGACUUUGUCAUAUGCUUUCUCCAAGUCGAUAAACACCAUGUGCAGGUCCUUCUUCCUUUCCCUAUACUAUUCCACCAGCCUCCAUACCAGGUGAAUUACCUCCGUCAUCGAGCGGCCAAGCAUAAAUCCAAACUGGUUCUCCGAAAUAGACACUAUCCGUCACAGUCUCACCUUGACCACUCUCUUCCAAAUCUUCAUAAAGUGACUCAAUAACUUAAUACCCUUAUAGUUAUUACAACUCUGAAUGUCACCCUUGUUCUUAUAAAGAGGGAUCAUAGUACUCCACCUCCAAGCCUUGGGUAUUUUCCUCAUCUUGAAAAUUUUGUUAAACAAUCCAGUCAGUCACCUUAAACCAGCCUCGUUCCAAAAAUCCACCGGUAUCUCAUCAGCCCCGUCGCCCUAACCCUUCGCAUCCUGCGAACAACCUCUCUAACCUCCUCUACCUUAAAAAGUCUACAAUAACUAAAAUCCCAACACUCCUCUGAGUGCUCCAGCUCCCCUAACACAAUAGUUAUAUCCCUUUCGUCAUUUAAGUGCCUAUGAAAAUACGACUGCCAUCUAUUCUUAAUGUGGUCGUCCUCCACUAACACUGUACCGUCCUCCCUCUUAAUGUACUUUACCUAGUCGAGGUCAUGACCCUUCCUCUCCCUAGCCUUAGCGAGUCUAAACAACUUUUUGUUGCCUCCUUUCUCCUGUAACCCCGCAUACAAGCUCUCAAAAGUUGUUGUCUUAGCCGCCGUAACUGCUAAGUUAGCCUCCUUCCUAGCUAACUUGUACUAUUUCCUAUUUACCCGUUUCUCUUCUUCAUCCUUACUCUCAACCAACUUAGCAUACGCCCCUUUCUUGGUCUCCACUUUCUUCUCAACCUCUUCAUUCCACCACCAAUCCCCCCGAUGAUGCCCAGCCCAGCCCCUAGAAAUACCCAACACCUCACUAUCAUUCUCCCUGAUGCACCUAGCCACCCUAUCCCACAUACUAUCCACGUCCUCCUAUACUCCCACACUGCCAUUCCCGCCAACUUCUCCCCUAUCUCCCACACAUUCACUGGCAUCAAGCCGCCCCACUUAAUUCUAGGUCUACACUCCUCACCCCUUCUCUUUCUAUCCUUCCUUAUACCCAAAUCCAUAACUAAGAGCCUAUGCUGGGUCGAAAGAUUCUCACUCGGAAUGACCUUACAAUCCUUACACAACCCCCUCUCCCCUUUCCUAAGCAACAAAAAGUCAAUCUGGGUCUUGGCUAUCGCGCUUCGGAAGGUGAUCAGGUGAUCGUCCUUCUU
rnacentral:lncRNA from 1 species